rnacentral:rRNA from 1 species
GACGAACGCUGGCGGCGUGCUUAACACAUGCAAGUCGAGCGGAAAGGCCCUUCGGGGUCCUCGAGCGGCGAACGGGUGAGUAACACGUGAGUAACCUGCCCCAGACUUUGGGAUAACCCUCGGAAACGGGGGCUAAUACCGGAUACGACACAGCUUCGCAUGGGGUCUGUGUGGAAAGUUUUUCGGUUUGGGAUGGGCUCGCGGCCUAUCAGCUUGUUGGUGGGGGGAUGGCCUACCAAGGCGACGACGGGUAGCCGGCCUGAGAGGGCGACCGGCCACACUGGGACUGAGACACGGCCCAGACGCCUACGGGAGGCAGCAGUGGGGAAUAUUGCACAAUGGGCGGAAGCCUGAUGCAGCGACGCCGCGUGAGGGAUGACGGCCUUCGGGGUGUAAACCUCUUUCAGCAGGGACGAAGCGUAAGUGACGGUACCUGCAGAAGAAGCGCCGGCCAACUACGUG